CCUACGUGGAGCAGCAGUGGGGAAUAUUGCGCAAUGGGCGAAAGCCUGACGCAGCGACGCCGCGUGAGGGAUGAAGGUCUUCGGAUCGUAAACCUCUGUCAGCAGGGAAGAACGGUCACUGUGCUAAUCAGCAGUGAAUUGACGGUACCUGCAAAGGAAGCACCGGCUAACUCCGUGCCAGCAGCCGCGGUAAUACGGAGGGUGCGAGCGUUAAUCGGAAUUACUGGGCGUAAAGCGCUCGUAGGCGGUAUGUCAAGUCAAGGGUGAAAUCCCCGCGCUCAACGUGGGAACUGCCUUUGAAACUGGCAAACUGGAGUGUGUGAGAGGAUAGUGGAAUUCCAGGUGUAGGAGUGAAAUCCGUAGAUAUCUGGAGGAACAUCAGUGGCGAAGGCGACUAUCUGGCACAUAACUGACGCUGAGGAGCGAAAGCGUGGGUAGCAAACAGGAUUAGAUACCCUAGUAGUC
rnacentral:rRNA from 1 species